CUUUUUAAGGCGUGGUUCUGGUUUAGUGACCAAAAUUUUUCAGGAGGGAAUUUUUCACUUAAAUCUUAAAGUAGCGGAUUCUUAUUAAAACACGGCUUUCAAAAUGAAAUUCUUUGCCAAGCGCUAUUUUUGAUAAAAUCCUUAGUUCGGGAGACACAUCCCUCUUUAUCUUCAUCGUCCUCUUCCCUCAGUCCUCUUCUUGCCCCCAACGCCUUUGCUUCAUGGUGGGUCGAGGCCUCAAUUCGGACCACUUUCGACAGCCCGUCCGAGUCUGUGAUGGUGUUGCUCGACCUUAAUUCGCGCGAUCGUUAAUUCACGAGACAACGCUCCCAAAGUUAACCGCCGUGUUAUGGGCUUCUGGCAAUUAUGAUUGGUUUGGAUAUCAUGGAUUACAGGACCAUAUAGAGGAAGCUGAGGUGUCUUUUGCUAUGGGAAUCUGAGACUAAUUGGAAUUGCUGCUUGGAAGACCUUUCGCACUAUAGCUUAAUCUGGCUAUUCUUGCUUCUAAAAUGCCCUGUGACUCUUGAGGUGGAGUCUUUGUAUGAGCUAUAUAAGAAACUAAGCAGCACUGUAGUUAAAGAUGGGCUUAUACACAAGCUGUGUGCUUCCUCCUAUCUAUCUUCCUCUUCUAGAUGGCCUCUUGUUCUUGCAACUCAUCUUCGUCAUUCAUUCGUGAAGGGAUACAGGGGGCAGCCUUGCUAUUAAAACUGUGGAACUUCAGGACUCGGGUUCGGUCUGCUAUCUAGGGUUACCUAUUCAUAUUCAGAGUGGCCGGUUGUGCGCAAACUUUUUUUGUUUUCAUUAGAUGAUCCUCAUAGGAAAAUCUAUACAGCAAUUAGUAUGGCUGUAGCAUCAAUAGCAAGUUAUGAUUGGCCAGAAGAUUGGCCGGACUUAUUACCAUAUCUAAUGAAGUUGAUUAACAACCAAGCCAAUAUGAAUGGAGUGCAUGGAGCUCUUAGAUGCUUGGCUCUUCUCUCUGUGGACUUGGAUGAUAUAGUGGUCCCGACACUAAUUCCCGCUCGAUCUGUUCCCAUGCUUGCUUACAAUUGUAUCAUCUCCUCAGAUUAGUACCCUCUGGCUUCUUUCCCAAUUAAUUGUCUUCGAGCUCUGUUCUAUUUG